rnacentral:rRNA from 1 species
GACGAACGCUGGCGGCGUGCUUAACACAUGCCAGUCGAACGAAGCUUCAUUACGGAUUCUUCGGAUGCAGUAUGAUAUGACUGAGUGGCGGCCGGGUGAGUAACGCGUUAGUAACCUGCCCUUCAGAGGGGGAUAGCGUUUGGAAACGAACGGUAAUACCGCAUAAUGUAUUUUGAUCGCAUGAUCGAGAUAUCAAAGAUUUAUCGCUGAAGGAUGGACUCGCGUCUGAUUAGGUAGUUGGUGGGGUAACGGCCAACCACGCGGACGAUCAGUAGCCGGACAGAGAGGUGGAUCGGCCACAUUGGGACUGAGACACGGCCCAGACACCUACGGGAGGCAGCAGUAGGGAAUAUUGCACAAUGGGCGCAAGUCGGAUGCAGCAACGCCGCGUGAAGGAAGACGGUUUUCGGAUUGUAAACUUCUGUUCUUAGUGAAGAAUAAUGACGGUAGCUAAGGAGCAAGCCACGGCUAACUACGUG